CUAGCAACUCCACAGAGAGAGCUCUCUGCACGUGCCACAAAGUGUCAGUUGGUGGAGUUGAGAGAACAAAGUUUGAGAGAGAUGUGGAAACCUUAAGCGGUAGGCCCCGGAGCCAUAGCAAGAGAGUGAGGAGCAGUAUGGGAAAGUGUAUCACAAUGGCUUUUUAGAGCAGAGUCCCAGGCUCAUCCAUUGCCUCCUCCCAUUGCUGACAGUGACCUCAGCUGUACUUUGCAAGAACAACUCUCCCAGGCACAUCUCAAACUAAUAUUUAAUUAUGAUACUACAGCUCAAAUAAAGUGUCAUAACACUUAUCAAUACAGAAAAUGAACAGAGACCGAGGAAGAGUAUGGGAGAUGUGCUAUCCAGUCGACUGCCCUGGUGUGUCACUUAUUCAGCAAUUUGCUGUGAUGAUUUUUUUUAGGAAGUAAAAUGCAGUAUCUGAAGUCUGUUCAUAUGCAGAAAAUAAAAUUAAUUUUAUUCUGUU